rnacentral:rRNA from 1 species
UACGUAGGGUGCGAGCGUUGUCCGGAAUUAUUGGGCGUAAAGAGCUUGUAGGCGGUUUGUCGCGUCUGCUGUGAAAUCUCAAGGCUCAACCUCGAACUUGCGGUGGGUACGGGCAGACUAGAGUGUGGUAGGGGGAGACUGGAAUUCCUGGUGUAGCGGUGGAAUGCGCAGAUAUCAGGAGGAACACCGGUGGCGAAGGCGCCACUCUGGGCCGGUACUGACGCUGAGGAGCGAAAGCGUGGGGAGCGAACAGG